UGGCAGCUUUGGUUUUGCUUUAUGGGUGGUCUUUGUUCUUCAAGACUCAUAUGAAUACCACAUAUUAGCUGAGCUGGUUCUCCCUUGAUGUCUGUGUUGUAUUGUACACAUGUUGUCACUGUUUGACACUUAAACAAUCCAGAUUCUUACCCAGCCCAUAUUUAGUGCCAUAAUAAACUUCGGAGCAUAUGUUUUUGAGAGCAACAGUAACAUUCAUCACUGCAAUGUGACAUAAAAAUAAGCACUACUGGAGAGCCGGCGUGCCUUCAGAGGGCAGAGCUGGACUGGAAGGUGAAGGGAUGUGGUCAUCAUCUGUGCUGCUCUUACUGGGCUCUUUUCUUCCUCGCCUUGUCUCAGUAAAUCAAAGCAGUUGUUGAAGUGACCUCCAAAAUUCACCCCGUACAUGUGAAAAACACACACUGUUACAAAACUUUUUUAGUGAAACAUUUCCUGUUUGGGGCUUUGGCUUGACAAACCAGAGAUGCAUAAACCAUCGCUCCUCUCUUCAUCUCUCUCAUUCUCUCUUUCAGCAGGGAGUUCCUCUGGGGCCCAGUCCGAAGCACCGGUCUGGCAGCUGCGCCGCACCAAUGCCUCCCGCUCCCGAGACCAUCUCCCCGAGGAAGCAUCUCCUGACCAACGUGCCUUCGCAGACUGCACUAAUUGAGGCGCUUCUAUGUAUAAAGUCAGCAUCUGACAUCAGUAGAUCUGGUAUAGAGACAUGGCGUUGGAUGCAAACCAUACCCAACACUGAGCAGAUCCAAAAAGAAAAG
rnacentral:lncRNA from 1 species